GGGGAUUUAGCUCAGCGGCAUAAGCGCCUGCCUUGCAAGCAGGCACUUGUAAGUUCAAUCCCUG
rfam:Cavia porcellus supercont2_27 genomic scaffold, whole genome shotgun sequence.